rnacentral:rRNA from 1 species
UUUGAGAGUUUGAUCCUGGCUCAGGACGAACGCUAGCGGCGUGCUUAAGGUAUGCAAGUCGAUCGCCCCAUCUUCGCAAGAAGAUGGGUAGCGAGGCGAACGGGUGAGUAACGCGUGGGAACCUUCCUCCAAGUCGGUCAUAACCCCGAGAAAUCGGGGAUAAUUACCGAUAGUCCCAGGCCGUAUCUCAUUGCAUUCGAUUCGGAAAUUCGAAACUCGAAUAUCGAAAUUCGAAACAAUAUCUAAUUUUCAAAAUUUCAAAUUUAAAACAUUUGGAAAUUGCGAUUUUGGAUUUGUUUAGGAUUUCUCCACCAGAGGCGGACCAGCCUUGGGCUGGGGAUUUGGGAUUUUGGGCUUCCGCAAUCGAGCACAGCGAGAUGCGGUUUGGGUAAAGAUUUAUCGCUUGGAGAUGGGCCUGCGUCCCAUCAGCUUGUUGGUAGGGUAACGGCCUACCAAGGCGACGACGGGUAGGGGGUGUGAGAGCAUGGCCCCCCACAAUGGCACUGAGACAAGGGCCAUACGCCUACGGGUGGCAGCAAUCGGGAAUCUUGCACAAUGGACGGAAGUCUGAUGCAGCGACGCCGCGUGAAGGAUGAAGGCCGAAAGGUUGUAAACUUCUUAAUCGCCCCACCUUUGCGUCCGAGUUACUCGGAAAUAAAGGUGGGGUGAGGAUUAAGCACCGGCUAACUACGUGCCAGCAGCAGCGGUAAAACGUAGGGUGCGAGCGUUGUCCGGAAUUAUUGGGCGUAAAGAGUACGUAGGUGUCCCGCCAAGUUUUCUGUUAAAUUUCAGGGCUCAACCCUGAAACGUCAGAAAAAACUGGCGGGAUUGAGGAAGGUAGGGGAUGGCGGAACAUUGCAAGGAGGGGUGAAAUCCGAUGAUCUGCGAUGGAACACCAAAGGCGAAGGCAGCCAUCUGGGCCUUUCCUGACACUGAGGUACGAAAGCUAGGGGAGCGAAACGGAUUAGAUACCCGUGUAGUCCUAGCCGUAAACGAUGGACACUAGCUAUCCAGUUUUGGGUGGCGUAAGCUAACGCGUUAAGUGUCCCGCCUGGGGAGUACGGCCGCAAGGCUAAAACUCAAAGGAAUUGACGGGGACCCGCACAAGCGGUGGAGCAUGUGGUUUAAUUCGAUGAUAACCGAAGAAUCUCACCAGGGUUUGACAUGCAAGUGGUAGGAACCCGAAAGGUGACCGACCCGCAAGGGAGCUUGCACAGGUGUUGCAUGGCUGUCGUCAGCUCGUGGCGUGAGCUGUAUGGUUAAGUCCCAUAACGAGCGCAACCCCUAUUGCCAGUUAGAAAUGUCUGGCGAGACUGCCCGGAUAACCGGGAGGAAGGUGGGGACGACGUCAAGUCAGCAUGGCCUUUAUGCCCUGGGCCACACACAUGCUACAAUGGCGACUCACAACAGGUUGCAAUCCCGUAAGGGUUAGCUAAUCCUCAAAAGUCGUCUCAGUUCGGAUUGGGGGCUGAAACUCGCCCCCAUGAAGUAGGAAUCGCUAGUAAUGGCCGGUCAGCUAUACGGCCGUGAAUACGUUCUCGGGUCUUGUACACACCGCCCGUCAAAUGGGAAAAGUUGGGGCUCGCUGAAG